CCAAUCCUGUCCCCUGGUACAGUCCUUGUUAGUUCCAGCAGACAUCUUAGGUGUUAACUGGGGGUUUUCUCCGGACUGGCAGCCCCCUUUGUUCUGUUCCACCGCCUUUUAUAGCUUUGGCACAAGGUGAGAAUCUUUUGUCUGUGCUUGUCCCCACCCCUCCUUCUAAAUGGAAAAGUACCAGAUUUAAGAUGGGUUUCAGAGGAACAGCCGUGUUAGUCUGUAUUCGCAAAAAGAAAAGGAGUACUUGUGGCACCUUAGAGACUAACCAAUUUAUUUGAGCAUGAGCUUUCGUGAGCUACAGCUCAUGGAUUCCAGUAUCAGGUGACAUGAUCACAUGUCCUGUGAGACCCCAGCCUCCAUUCUUCCUGGGCUGGCCCACAGGUGUAUAUGAAGGUUUGCAAGUAAACGGAGCCAUUUACAACCAACUGUCCUAGUCAAUGGGAGCCAUCAAGAUUCUAAACCACCAUUAAUGGCCCACACUUUGCAUAAUUACAAUAGGAUUUCAGAGUUAUACUUCUAGCUUCAGAAACAAGAAUGAUACGUGCAUACAAAUAGGAUGAAUACACCCAGUAGAUUAUAAACUUGGUUAUAAGAAAAGGAGUACUAGUGGCACUUUAGAGAUUAACCACUCUAUUCGAGCAUAAGCUUUCGUGAGCUACAAAUACCACUGAAUGCAUCCGAUGAAGUGAGCUGUAGCUCACAAAAGCUUAUGCUCAAAUAAAUUGGUUUCUUAGUACUCCUUUUCUUUUUGCAAAUACAGACUAACACGGCUGCUACUCUGAAACCUCAAACAGCAACAGGAAGCAUCUGAAGACAAGUCAUCUGCCUUGAAUUUAUGUGACUUAAUUUUGGAUCCAAGUUUAACUUAGACAUGCCAAAUUCAUAUAAGAAAAGCAAAAAAACAGCCCUGAAACCAAUAUUUUAGAGUUUUGUUUUAGCAAAAAUUGGGCAACUUGCACCGUGAGGUGAACCUGAAAAGCCAAGAACUUUCUUGCUACAGCUUUGAAACACUGCAGGGACCUCCUUACCCUCAGCUAUGCCUCUAGUUAUGGGAUAUUACACAAGAAGCUGUACCAAAGUGAACCCUCAUCGGUGGGGGAGGGAGGGGGGGACCUCUUUCAACUAUCAGAAAAGUAAGAUCGCCAAGAGAAAGGCUCGGAAGGGAGAGAAGAAAUACCCAGCCCGAGCUCUGCUUCUCCUCACCCAGCUCGGGUGCCCAACCCGGAGACUACAUAAUACAACUCCUCAAAAAGUGCCUGUGGCCCCAGCCUGCCGCUCUCACUUCGGGCAGAGAUUAGGCGACUCCGGAGGCAGCGCCUCUCAGUAACAAGCGGCUGCGCUGGGCUAGUUAGCCGGAAGGACCGGGGUCGCCCCCAGAGCUCCGGCUGCCUCUGCCCCCGCCGGGGGUGCCCAGGCGAGGCAGGCAGGUGGUUGGCAGCAGGACAGCUGGAGGGAAGGGAUCUCUGGGUCUAGGAAGAGAUGGCUGGACAAAAGGGAUUGCACAACUACAAAUAGGCAAAAGUACCAUAUUUUUGUGCCAACUUGAUUCUGAUUCAGUGCUGAGCCCUACAGGCAGGGUCUCUUCAGCCUUGGUGCCAGGUAGUGUCUCAUUCCCUGGGAGUAAGGGCCAUUCCUUGCCUUGAAAGGCAUAUUUUCUUCCAAGGUUAGCUGUCUGCCCUUCCCACUAACAAUUUGUACAAUCUUGCAAUUUACGUUAAGUAUUUUUCCUCCCUUCCAGGGAAGUUUAUUAGCCCUUCCUUCCUUUGAAGGCAGGAGGUGCUUACACCCCAUCAUAUACUUAGUCCUCUUCCUCCUACAGAAGAGGAGCACAAGCAUGUUGGGUGAAAAGUCUGCAUUUCUGUGAAAAGCUCCAUGGUAAUGCACAGAGUAAAGUCUAUUGUAGGAUGCUUCCGAAAACAGACUUCUUGGGGGAUCAUCACAGGUACAAUCUAUAGCAUUCUUGCGUUCUGCCUUCAGGGAACACCACCUACUUAUCUGUUUUUAGAGAAGACACACACCCACACUAUUUUAUUAGCUUCACACUUGUCAAACUGUCUAGAGGGACUCACGACCAUGAGUGCCAACCUCAGGGCCGACUGUUAAGAAACAAACCCGUUGUGUGUUCUAUAAUUAGAUUUCGCCAACCAAGCAUCAAUUGAGAACUCCACAAAUACUAUAACAGCCUUACCAUGGAGUCACAAACAGUCCUCUUGGGCACUCUGGUCUAUCUUGCAGCCCAGUUUGUGAAAAUGUGAGAGAUUGACAAUGCAUCAUCAAGGAUCUACAACCUAUCCUGAAGGACGACCCAUCACUCUCACAGAUCUUGGGAGACAGGCCAGUCCUUGCUUACAGACAGCCCAACAACCUGACGCAAAUACUCACCAGCAAUCACACACCACACAACAGAACCACUAACCCAGGAACCUAUCCUUGCAACAAAGCCCGUUGCCAACUGCGUCCACAUAUCUAUUCAGGGGACGCCAUCAUAGGGCCUAAUCACAUCAGCCACAAUAUCAGAGGCUCGUUCACCUGCACGUCUACCAAUGUGAUAUAUGCCAUCAUGUGCCAGGAAUGCCCCUCUACCAUGUACAUUGGCCAAACUGGACAGUCUCUAUGUAAAAGAAUAAAUGGACAGAAAUCAGACGUCAAGAAUUAUAACAUUCAAAAACCAGUCGGAGAACACUUCAAUCUCUCUGGUCACUCAAUUACAGACCUAAAAGUGGCAAUACUUCAACAAAAAAAAACUUCAAAAACAGACUCCAAUGAGAGACUGCUGAAUUGGAAUUAAUUUGCAAACUGGAUACAAUUAACUUAGGCUUGAAUAAAGACUGGGAGUGGAUGGGUCAUUACACAAAGUAAAACUAUUUCCCCAUGUUUAUCCCCCCGCCCCGCCAACUAUUCCUCAGAUGUUCUUGUCAACUGCUGGAAAUGCCCCACCUUGAUUAUCACUACAAAAGGUUCCCCGCCCCCACCCCACACCCCCCCCCCCCCCC